ensembl:lncRNA
GUUUGAGAUAGCAGCUGCAGUGUAAGGAUGCAGGAAGAGAUUGUCAUGCUUGAAAUUAUGUGCCUACUUUCAUCAUUGGACGACAAACUGUGACUCUGAGGAAUAAUCAAUUUAGAAGAGCUAGACAGUGGCAAACACUUAAUUGUCAUGGGCUGUGACUAUACAAUGUGUGGAAGUCUAACUGCUUCUGUAGACCAAUGCUUUCUCCGAUAUCUAUGCCGUUUUGGUACUGAACCACAGCCUUUCACCCUCCUUUGGACUAACUAUGUAGGGCAGCCAGCAACAAAUCUGUCAUUUCUGCUUCUCUGCCGGCCGGUACAGACAAAGCCAUAGACAUUCUCCAGGAGCCGCUGAGAUGAAAAGUUGCUUUUUGAACUGAAGACUAACCUGUGUCCCUUACAAUAUUUACAAAGUCAUGCAUUUUGUAUUAUGCAUCACCGUUUCCCUUAUUGUAAAACCAAGCCCAGCUGUACCUGGUUGUAUGUGUGUGUGUGUGUGUGUGUAUUUCCCCUCCUUCACUAUAGCAGAAUGUCUUUAAGUUGUUGCUUUAAUUACAUUCGUAAUGCAGACAUGUUCUGUGACCCACCUGUAGGGUUCUUGAUUUGUUCCUUUACAGCAUUAAAAGUAAUCCAGCAACCUCAGUCUGUGGCAUGAAGCGCUCCGUGUUUUGAUGACCAAACCUGUGUGAAGACACGAGGGUCUACCAGCAAAUGUGUUUGGAACAAAGGGUGCAGAAAAGGCGCAAGUCCUUUGUCUACACUAUUAUUAAUGUUCCUUCAGCACAGUUCCAUUCAUGCCCUGGAUUAUUCCUGAUGUAGGCAGUCAUGUAGAUCCCCCUCCUAUUGACAGCUAUCUGUCAAUUCCAGAGUCCUAAUGCUGGUGUUAUUCCAGAUGUUGCCCCGCUAUACAUGUCUUGGGUUUGACUGACCAGGACUUGACCAGAGGACUCAAAGAGCAGUCCUUGUUAUGGACAACUUCAGCACUCAUCUAGACGUGUUCCCCAACAGUCUCUGAGUAACCAAUUUUACCUCUGUUACUUGAAGCCUGUUGAACAAUAUCAGAAGCAUCUUUUAUGGUCCAGAGGACUCUUAAUCCAAGAAUUCCUUGGGGGCACAAUUAUCCACAAGAACAAUGUCUUCAGGUACUAAAUUUAACUUCAGAUUUCUGCCACUUUUGCCAUUCUUUCAGUAGCUGCAUGCAUUUCUUAGUCCAUGUAGACAAGAAGAGAUUGGUCAUGUUGAAUUUGCUUCCAUCUUCUACUUGAAUAACAGUCCUCUUUCUGAAAAACUCCUGGUGGCAUGAUUUCAUCAGCAGAGGGUUUGUAAUCAGAGGCUCAAAGUCAUGGUUUAGCAAUUGGUCAUAGUUUAAUGACUUCAACACAAUUGUGUGACGCGUUUAAUCAUCUAAUACCUGUUAAUUCAACACCAAAUUGAGAACUUUCUAAAUUGCAUUUGUCCUUCCCAUGUUCCACGUUGAGAUGCUGGAGUAUUUUGAAAAUCCACUUUGUCCAAAAUCCAGUUUACAAUUUCUCUCUUCAAACGGUGUACAAAGAAUCUCCAUCUUUCUGCCUCUAAAGUUUUUUUUAAAAAAAAAGAGCAAAAAAAAAAAAAACCAGCAAGAUAAAUGUAUGUUAAAAAUUUAUGUAAACUAAAGG